GCAGCAGGGGGCGUAGCGGUUAGCGCUGUUGCCUCGCAAUCAAAGAACAUGGGUUUGAAUCCCACCUCCUGCC
rfam:Scleropages formosus scaffold3522, whole genome shotgun sequence.